rnacentral:misc_RNA from 1 species
CCUCCUUUCUAGAGAAAGAUGGUGAGUUACAAAAGGUAUAUUUUACUCUUUGCUGUUAAUUUUAAAGUAAAGAAAUAUUAAGCUAUUAUAGUCUCGUAGCUCAGCUGGUUAGAGCGCUACACUGAUAAUGUAGAGGUCGGCAGUUCGAGUCUGCCCGAGACUACAAAUACUUAGUAUUUAAAGGAAAUUCUAGAAGUUGAAGUAAUUAGCAGACUAAUUACAGCUCACUAAUUACUAACUACUAGUAAAAGGGGGAUUAGCUCAGCUGGCUAGAGCGCUUGCCUUGCACGCAAGAGGUCAUCGGUUCGACUCCGAUAUUCUCCACAGAUGAAUACUUUAAAAGGUAGAAUCGAAAAUAAGCAAAACGUAAAAAGUUUACUUUUUAAAUUUUUGUGAUUGAGAUUUUUUUA